GAUACCCCUGUAGUCCCAGCCGUAAACUAUGCGCGUUAGGUGUAUCGGUGACCACGAGUUACCGAGGUGCCGAAGGGAAACCGUGAAACGUGCCGCCUGGGAAGUACGGUCGCAAAGCUGAAACUUAAAGGAAUUGGCGGGGGAGCACCACAACAGGGUGGAGCCUGCGGUUUAAUUGGACUCAACGCCGGGAAGCUCACCGGAUAGGACAGCAGAAUGAUUGCCGGGCUGAAGACCCCUGCAUGACUAGCUG
rnacentral:rRNA from 1 species